rnacentral:rRNA from 1 species
AGGGAAUUUUGCGCAAUGGACGAAAGUCUGACGCAGCAACGCCGCGUGAGUGAUGAAGGCCUUCGGGUUGUAAAGCUCUGUCGGAAGGGAAGAGACUACCGGUUUAAUACUCCGGUACUGACGGUACCUUUAGAGGAAGCACCGGCUAACUCUGUGCCAGCAGCCGCGGUAAUACAGAGGGUGCUAGUGUUGUUCGGAUUUAUUGGGCGUAAAGGGAGUGUAGGUGGGGGCUAAAGUCAGUGGUGAAAAUUCGGGGCUUAACCCUGAACUUGCCAUUGAUACUGAGUCUCUUGAGUAUGGAAGAGGGCGAUGGAAUUCCUGGUGUAGCGGUGGAAUGCGUAGAUAUCAGGAGGAACACCGAUUGCGAAGGCAGUCGCCUGGGACAAUACUGACACUGAAACUCGAAAGCAUGGGGAGCAAAC